rnacentral:lncRNA from 1 species
GGGGACAGGAAAUUGCUGGGAGGAGGAGGCAGCCUGCAGAUAAAGCAGGUGGCCUGUCUAAGGGGCAGCCAGGCACUGGGGUCAGAACUGAAAUAGGACUCAAAAGUCAGCAGGAGGGCUUCCUCCAUGCCUGGCUGUCUAGGGGCCUUCCUGUCCUAUGGCCCCCCCAAGAGGGUCACCGCCACGCUCCACUGGGCACAAACAAGAGACUACACGGCCGCCGUCCCGCAGGCAAAACUGCGGGUUCCCGCCGUUCCGCACCCGGGCAACCACCGAAGCGCGCUGGACAAACUGGCGGAAACCGCGCUCCAGCCGCCCCGCCCCCCGGCCUUGGGCCUCCAGGCCCCGCCCCUCCAACCGGGCCCCGCCCUCCAGGCCCCGCCCCUCCAGCCUUGGGCCUCCAGGCUCCGCCCUUUCUGCCCCGGGGAAGGCAGCUGGACCGGAGGCCUCCCCUGGCGGCGCUGGUAGAGGAGAGGUGGGCGUCUCAUGACGAGUUGGAGUCCCACUGCCACGCGCCUUGAAUGUCCAUCUUUCACACAGUGUCGAGCUUCAGUAAGGACGCCACAUGUCUAAUGCCGAAAACAAUAAACGUGGAUCCUAACCUUUCAUUUUCCAGUGAAAAUUCUCUAGAGGGCACAGGAAGAAGGCUGAACGCGCAGGGCGCCGAGGGCAGGGCGCCUCGCGGCGACGGGGGCCCAGGCGAGGCCACCCCAAAGGCAGCUGUUUGCGCCUGUGCGGCCGCUCCCCAGCGCCCUGAGGCUGAAGUGGAUGGAGGCGGUGGGCGCAGCUACCCAAGCCCAGCAGCCCGGCGCCGGCUGUGGCACUGAACGUGGAAGCAGGCGUCCUCGUGCGGGUUAGUCUGCGCCCCGCCUGGACAGGGUCUCGCUGAACUGCCUGGGCACGGGGCUGCCUUUGCCAUCUUCCAGCUCCAGCCUCCUGGAUUACCGGGAUUACAAGCAUGCGCCAUCAGGCUUGCGUCCAGGCAAUUUUGAAGAGUUCGAACCUCUGGGGCCUGCACUCACCUGUAGAGCGCGUACAGGGCAAGUAGCACUGCUGGCACGUGCCUGUGGUCUUCCCGGCACUCGAGGCCAUGGGAGGAGGAUCACAGAUUCGACCCCAGCCUGGGAGAUUUAAAGAUUUAUUGAGAUCCUAUCUCAAAAAAAAUGAAAAGAUGGGAAUGUGGCUCAGUGUGAAAGCCCUGGGUUCAAUCAUCAGUAUUACCACCAGCACCCUUUUCAUAUACAUUUAGGCCUCUAG